rnacentral:lncRNA from 1 species
GGAACUUAAGGACAUCACAGAUUCAUCCAUUUUUUACUGAUUGUAUUCCCUGCAAUAGAUGUUCAGAGAAAAAGAGACGUGGCACCACACCAAUAUUCCUGCUCAUUAGUGAAAAUCCUGUUCCUAGGGAAACUGUGCUGUUGGACGCAUCUCUUGAUUAGCUUCAGAGCAACUGAAAUGGUUCUGUGUCUCUGGCUUACUACUUGUAAGGUGAACCUGGGAUUCUUUUAAGGGCAAACGAAAGUCAAGAAAUUAAAUAGGAAUAUGAAUCUCCAGAAUUUCUAUUAGCAAUGAUGAGAUUCAGUUUUUUGCUUGCAUCCCUCAUGUGAUCAUCUGCAUGAAAAAGGUAACACUUCUCCUAAUAAUCUUUAAUAAGAUGGAAACAUUUCCAAAACCAAUGUA